GACGUAGGGGGCCAGCGUUGCUCGGAAUUACUGGGCGUAAAGCGUGCGCAGGCGGUGAUGUAAGACAGUUGUGAAAUCCCCGGGCUCAACCUGGGAACUGCAUCUGUGACUGCAUCGCUGGAGUGCGGCAGAGGGGGAUGGAAUUCCGCGUGUAGCAGUGAAAUGCGUAGAUAUGCGGAGGAACACCGAUGGCGAAGGCAAUCCCCUGGGCCUGCACUGACGCUCAUGCACGAAAGCGUGGGGAGCAAACAGG
rnacentral:rRNA from 1 species